GCUGCGGUUAACCACAGCUUCUGGGAGAUUAACGAGCAGCAAACUCCACUCGCGGGUGGUCUGACUGUUCGACAGUUCGAAGUGCCACUUCGAACCACUUCGGAAAUUCGAAGUGCUAACUUCAAAUGCCGAAGAGGGCACAAACAGUGUCCCUGAACACAAUAUAUCCCAGGGGCAAUAGUCACAGGGUUAGAGGCAGGCAAGAAGGCCCCUCUAAGUUGCUUUCGUCACAUUAGUAUUUCACUGUUUGAAAAUUAUCUCGAACUAUAACACAG